rnacentral:lncRNA from 1 species
CCUCAUCAUCCGCCACCUGACCAAUCCCUCCUCCACGCGUUUCAGAGGAUCGGAUCUCCUCCACCGCCGCCGCCUCAUCCUCUACUCCGACGAAUUCUGCCGCUGACUUCUGCUCGGCGCCGCUGCGAUCAGAUCUGCUCCGGUGACUUCUGCUCGGCGCCGCUGCCGCGUAGCCGCUGGAGAAAGAGAGAGGGAGAUGAGAAGGAGAGAGGAGAUAGCGCAGCCGCUGGAGAGAGAGAGAGGGAGAUGAGAAAGAGAGAGGAAAGAGAGAGAAGGGUAG